rnacentral:rRNA from 1 species
CGCUAAAAAGCUAGCCCAAGAUCAGGGGAUAAUACCUCAAUAUAAUCCUCCCCAAAUAAUUUCAAGCAAGUACGUAAAUCAUUUUUCCCUCCUAGUACGGGCGACGGAAAAGAGACCCAGCGAGCGAUAGAUAUAGUACCGUAAGGGAAAGCUGAAAAAGGAAUGAAAGAGCCCAUUUAAGCUUCAAGAAGCAGAGAUCUAAACUCGUACCUUUUGCAUCAUGAAUUAGCUAGUCCACCCAAGCAAAGAGCCCUUUAGUUUGACACCCCGAAACUGAGGCGAGCUACUUCAAGACAGCCUAUUGUAGGGCAAACCCGUCUCUGUUGCAAAAGGGUGGGAAGAGCUUUGAGUAGAGGUGAUAAACCUAACGAGCCCGGUGAUAGCUGGUUUCCUGGGAAAUGGAUAGAAGUUCAGCCCCCCAACUUAUUACGCCACCCCGGCAUACUAAGCCCGGGCUUUAAUAAGUUAGAGGAGUUAGUCAAAGGAGGUACAGCUCCUUUGAGAAAGAUACAACUUUUCCAGGUGGGUAAGGAUCAUACUUAUUAAGGCAGGUGCCUGAGUGGGCCUAAAAGCAGCCACCUCUGAAGAAAGCGUUAAAGCUGAAGCACGUAUUACAGCCCCCUAUAAUGAUUAUAUUUCCAACCCCCCUGCCCCCACACCAGGACCUCUCAUGCGACCAUGAAAGAGACCAUGCUAAUAUGAGUAACAAGGGGGCACUCAUAGACCCCCUCCUAGCACGCGUGUACAUCGGAACGGACCAACCUCCGACUAUUAAACGGCCCCAACAGCAGAGGGAAAUGAACAACAAAUUAUAAACUGGAAGUGCGUUCAUAUUAUGCCGUUGAUCCUACACUGGGGUGCUUAAAAGGAAAGACUAAAAGGAAGAGAAGGAACUCGGCAAGCAAAAGCCCCGCCUGUUUACCAAAAACAUCGCCUCUUGCAGCAAUAAGAAUAAGAGGUCCCGCCUGCCCUGUGACAUCUGUUUAACGGCCGCGGUAUUCUGACCGUGCAAAGGUAGCGCAAUCACUUGUCUUUUAAAUGAAGACCUGUAUGAAUGGCACGACGAGGGCUUAACUGUCUCCUUUUCCUAGUCAGUGAAAUUGAUCUUCCCGUGCAGAAGCGGGAAUGACAUCAUAAGACGAGAAGACCCUGUGGAGCUUAAGACAUGAGCAGAGCAAGCUGAAUGCUUUCAAUUAAAAAAGUUAAACUUGUGCCCCCUGCUUUUAAGUGUCUUUGGUUGGGGCGACCGCGGGGAAAGCAAAACCCCCAUGUGGAACGAGAGAACAUCUCUUUAAAGCCGAGAACCCCAGUUCUAGGCAACAGAAUAUUCUGACCAAAACGAUCCGGCUGAGGCCGAUCAACGGACUGAGUUACCCCAGGGAUAACAGCGCAAUCCCCUUUGAGAGCCCAUAUCGACAAGGGGGUUUACGACCUCGAUGUUGGAUCAGGACAUCCUAAUGGUGCAGCCGCUAUUAAGGGUUCGUUUGUUCAACGAUUAAAGUCCUACGUGAUCUGAGUUCAGACCGGAGUAAUCCAGGUCAGUUUCUAUCUAUGGAGUGAUCUUUUCUAGUACGAAAGGACCGAGAAGGAGAGGCCCAUGCUACGGGCACGCCUCACCCCCACCUAGAUGAAGGCAACUUAAGUAGGUUAAAGGGCAUGCCCUUUAGCCUAAAAGAACGGCGU